UUAGCCGUAAAUUGAUAUAUUUACCAAAGUACUAUGAACAUAAUAGUUUAAAACUUAAAGAGCUUGGCGGUGCUUUAGACCUCCCAGGGGAACUUGUCUCAUAAUCGACAGUCCACGAUAUACCUUACCUUUUUUAGAUUCUUCAGUAUGUAUACCGUCGUCGUCAGGUAACUUCUAAAAACAUAAAAGUUAGCAGAUUAAAAUUUAUAGUUUUAGACGUCAGAUCAAGGUGCAGCCUAUAGAAAGGUGUAGAUGAGUUACAAUUAAAACUUAUAAUACGGAAAAAGCUUAGAAAAACUUUAAUAAGGCGGACUUGGAAGUAAAAAUUUUUAUAUAAGUUUUUUGAAUAUGGCUCUGAAGCG
rnacentral:rRNA from 1 species